UACGGGGGGGGCAAGCGUUGUUCGGAAUUACUGGGCGUAAAGGGCUCGUAGGCGGCCAACUAAGUCAGACGUGAAAUCCCUCGGCUUAACCGGGGAACUGCGUCUGAUGCUGGAUGGCUUGAAUCCGGGAGAGGGAUGCGGAAUUCCAGGUGUAGCGGUGAAAUGCGUAGAUAUCUGGAGGAACACCGGUGGCGAAGGCGGCAUCCUGGACCGGCAUUGACGCUGAGGCGCGAAAGCUAGGGGAGCAAACGGG
rnacentral:rRNA from 1 species